rnacentral:tRNA from 2 species
GCUCGUAGCUCAGCUGGAUAGAGUACCUGGCUACGAACCAGGCGGUCAGAGGUUCGAAUCCUCUCGAGC